rnacentral:lncRNA from 1 species
GACGAAAGGACAGCACUGCCCGGUAUGAAUACUCUGAAUCUUUCUCACACAGGUGAUCCUCGAAGAAUAUUUACUGGAUCUUUCAGAGCCGGAAACAGUGGAGCACUCACCAGCUGAUGCCUCUGAAGACUACAUAAUCAGAGAUGGUGCAUAAGAAGAUGGCUCACUCCAGGAAAGGUGUCCUGAAGCACUGUCAGAGACAGAGCCAUAACUGGUUUGCUCUCUGGGGAGAGUUAAUGGAGCGUGGGGAAUUGGUCUUGUUAUAUCAAUGAAAUUUAGCUAUGUAUGUGAAUUACCACCCACAAGGUUUCAGAUGAGUAGGUUUCAUUUCUGCUCUCAAGUUGUGCGAGGUGGGAGAUGUGAGAGGAGAAGGCGGAUGGAAUCAUCUUUCAUCUUUCAUAAAGCUACUGUCAUUUCUACAGGGCACUACUGGGAUCGUAAAAACGGCAAUUAGAAAUGUUGAUCUGAACGCCAGCCCUGUGCAAUUUGAGAUAAAAAUACAGACUUGCAAUCACAGUUUUUCCAUAUCCUGCA